UGCGCAUGUGCGGCACACGGAGCCACAGGAUGCAAAUGUAUUCUCGCCUAUUGGCUGAGAGGCGGCAGGUGUGCGCGUGCUAGUACCAGCCGGUGACAGUGAUGUAACACUAGUUACUACAUACACAGGAAUCAUGGGAAAGGCUGCGUACAGACGGGACUCCUCCUGCUGGGUUCUUCCAACUCAGAAGUUCUAAAACGCAGGUUUGCCUGAACGGUUGUUUCAGCUAACGUAACGCAUUAGGUCUGAACUUACUCAGCCCUUGUGAUAACUUCAGCCUGUCCGGUCCCGGAAUUGACGUCCGACGACUGCCCUACAAACGCCUAGAAACGAAACAUAGUCUUGUUAAAAACAUAAUUGAAUCUUGGAACAAGAGUCAACAAUGGAAGGAAAAGGCAAUGGGCAAUUAACCCUCGUCAGUGUUGGAAGGUAUGAGGAUAUAUCUAGUAAAGCUAGUGUUAAUGUAUUUACCAACUGAAAACACCAGAACGGAAUCCUUUCUCGUUUCGUUUCCAGUGCCUUACACUUAAUGUGAGCAAGUUACUGUAUAUUCACCUCCAACGACCCCUGACUACAAUAUUUUUAAUCUCCUCUGGCGAUGGCGAGCUGAAAUGCACAAAAAUUGACCCGUUUGGGUGCCCAAACAGGACUUUUCAUGUCGCGUCCAAUAGUUUAGUCGAGUAUAGCUGCUUUAUACGCCUACAGCUGGCUGCUAUGGGAGUGAUAUGCACGAAAACGGGGGACAAUCUCGUCACUUUAGGCGGGAGAUCAGGCACGAUAUAACAAUUGAAUUUCGCCCAUAAUGUACUAUAAUCUGGUCCAUACUCCCUACAACAGCACCUAACCCCCAGUUUCUGCCUGCCAUAUGCUUAUUUCAAUGUUAUGGCCACUAAUGCAAAAAUGUUUAUAUACCAUGUACUUAUCCUGCAUUGUCUUGUACUGUAAGUCACGCUUGUUUGUUUUUUUUGCUCAUUUGUUUAUAUACAUUGCAGGUGCCGUGAACCCUUGUGGCGCCUUAUAAAUAAAGGAUGAUAAUAAUAACAAUAA